GGGCUGGAAACGAGACGAGCUAUGUCUGGCUAAAGUGAGCAUAACCGCCUCGACUCAUUUAUCUUUACGAGUUGAAAUGUUGUGCUCUAUCCAGCUCAUCAACCCGUCGCAUUUUUAAAGAAAAUUAAUUUUAUAUUUCUACACAUAUUUACAAAAAAGAAUUUUUAAACAAAAGAAUUUAUAAUUUAUAUACAAUAAAAUUUUGGGUUAUAAUUUACAUGUAUUAAAAUUAAAAUUUGGGUUUUAAUUUAAAUGAGCCCAAUGAGCGAGCCGCCAAGUGGAGCUUACCUUGGCCCGUGCUCGGUCCUUUUACAAACGAGGCAAUUUCGAUCGAGCCGCGAGCUUUUUGAACAACCCUUACUUUUUUGCCUUUUUGCAGCGCCCAACGGUUGAAUGACUUGGGUGAAGAAUCAACCAGACUUCCUCUCUUCCUCUCUUGAGGUUGGAUGGGUCAAAAUGGGUCGGAGCGGUUUAAGCCUAUCAAUACUUUUUAUGUCCAUUUUGUAUAUAUUUUAGACUACUAUUUCUUUUUAGCUAAUUUUCCUUCCACAUUCGACCCGUUAUCAAUGAAAUACAUUUCGACCCGUUAUCAAAAUGGGUCAGACUUUUAUAGUCUGUUAAAA